rnacentral:rRNA from 1 species
UUACACACCUAAACUUUACGUGAACCGUUGUGAUUGCCCUGGUUGGGCAUGACGUGGGGCUUCCCUGCGUGCUUGCGUGCGUGCKUGCUUGCUUUGCUUGCGUGCGUGCUUGYGUGCGUGCGGGYGGAGGCUCCGUCUGKSUGGUGUCGUGCUGUGCGAUGCRUUGUGUCGCGCGGCGUGGCGUUGCCUGGCGCCUUUUGUUUUGAACCCUUUGCAAAAUGACUGAGUAUACUGUGGGGACGAAAGUCUCUGCUUUGAACUAGAUAGCAACUUUCAGCAGUGGAUGUCUAGGCUCGCACAUCGAUGAAGGACGCUGCGAACUGCGAUACGUAAUGCGAAUUGCAGGAUUCAGUGAGUCAUCGAAAUUUUGAACGCAUAUUGCACUUCCGGGUUAUACCUGGGAGUAUGUCUGUAUCAGUGUCCGUAAAGCACUGUUGCCUCUCUUCCUUCCGUGUAGUCGGUGGCGGGGACGGCAGACGUGAAGCGUCUUGCUGCAGCUGUUUUGCGUUGCGGCAAGUCCUUUGAAACUGUGUUCUCUCUGUGUUUCUCGAAAGCGAGCUGGAAGUGUGAGUUCGUGGGCUGCGUGCGCGCGCGGCGCUGCUGGGCGAGUAUUCGUGCGAGGGCGUUUGCGAGAGGGCUUGUUGAUUCGCGGUAUGUUAGGCUUGUGCCGGACAAAGCGCUUAUGGACGGGCUGUCUCGUGUUCUUGCGGGCGAGUGUUCGUUUGGCGGUGUGUGUGGUUGCGUGUGUGGUGUGGCGAGUGUUGCGCUUUUGGCGAUUUGACUCGCGAGUAGAGCGUUUGCGGAGGCUGCGUUGUGUGCGUGCGGUGCUUAAUGCGCGUGGGCAUGCGUGUGGUCUUUGUGUGCGCGGAGUGUGUAUGAAUUUGGGAAGUUGUGUGUUGGCGCGCGUGUUGUGGCGCGCGCGGCGCAUCUCAAUUGGACCUGAUMUCAGACAAGAU